UCAUUCAGUGCUCCGUGAAAAGUAAGUAAUGAAUCAUCUUCUCGAGAUAUUCCAUAUUUAUUCUGAAAAUAAAUAAUUAUUCUCUGAAAUUAUGCAUGAAUUAUGAAUUAUGUUUUGAAAGAAAAGUGCUUUUGAAAUAUUAUGGUACGUCGAUUUAUGCACAUAUUCAGUAAAAAAUUAUGAUAUAUUAUGGUACAAAAUAUUUUGAUACAGAUCAAAUUUAUGCUCUCAGCCUAACUAUGUUUCAGUG
rnacentral:lncRNA from 1 species